rnacentral:rRNA from 1 species
GACGAACGCUGGCGGCGUGCUUAACACAUGCAAGUCGAACGAUGAAGAAGAGAAACGCGAACUUCGGUUCAAAUUUCACUUCGGAUUGGUGGCAGACGGGUGAGUAACGCGUGAGCAACCUACCUCUUACAAAGGGAUAGCCUCGGGAAACCGUGAUUAAUACCAUAUGACACAUUCAUAAGGCAUCUUAAGAAUGUUAAAGCUACGGCGGUAAGAGAUGGGCUCGCGUCCCAUUAGCUAGUUGGUGAGGUAACGGCCCACCAAGGCGACGAUGGGUAACCGGCCUGAGAGGGUGAACGGUCACAUUGGAACUGAGACACGGUCCAAACUCCUACGGGAGGCAGCAGUGGGGAAUAUUGCACAAUGGAGGGAACUCUGAUGCAGCGACGCCGCGUGAGCGAUGAAGGAAUUCGUUUCGUAAAGCUCUGUUCUAUGGGAAGAAAAGGACUGUACCAUAGGAGAAAGCCCCGGCUAAAUACGUG